GCCACUGUAGCACAGUGGAAGAACAUUGGAUUUGCAUGCAAAAGGUUCCUGGUUCAAUCCCUGGUAGGGCA